rnacentral:rRNA from 1 species
UACAGAGGUCUCAAGCGUUGUUCGGAUUCAUUGGGCGUAAAGGGUGCGUAGGCGGCGCGGUAAGUCGGGUGUGAAAUCUCGGAGCUUAACUCCGAAACUGCAUUCGAUACUGCCGUGCUUGAGGACUGGAGAGGAGACUGGAAUUUACGGUGUAGCGGUGAAAUGCGUAGAUAUCGUAAGGAAGACCAGUGGCGAAGGCGAGUCUCUGGACAGUUCCUGACGCUGAGGCACGAAGGUCCAGGGGAGCAAACGGG